rnacentral:rRNA from 1 species
AGUGAACGCUGGCGGUAGGCCUAACACAUGCAAGUCGAACGGCAGCACAGUAAGAGCUUGCUCUUACGGGUGGCGAGUGGCGGACGGGUGAGGAAUACAUCGGAAUCUACUUUUUCGUGGGGGAUAACGUAGGGAAACUUACGCUAAUACCGCAUACGACCUACGGGUGAAAGCAGGGGAUCUUCGGACCUUGCGCGAUUGAAUGAGCCGAUGUCGGAUUAGCUAGUUGGCGGGGUAAAGGCCCACCAAGGCGACGAUCCGUAGCUGGUCUGAGAGGAGGGUCGGCCACAUUGGAACGGAGACACGGACCAGACUCCUACGGGAGGCAGCAGUGGGGAAUAGUGGACAGUGGGCGCAAGCCUGAUCCAGCCAUACCGCGUGGGUGAAGAAGGCCUUCGGGUUGUAAAGCCCUUUUGUGGGGAAAGAAAAGCAGCAGGUUAAUACCCCGCUGUUCUGACGGUACCCAAAGAAUAAGCACCGGCUAACUUCGUG